rnacentral:rRNA from 1 species
UACGUAGGGCGCAAGCGUUGUCCGGAAUUAUUGGGCGUAAAGAGCUCGUAGGCGGUUUGUCGCGUCUGCUGUGAAAACCUAAGGCCUCAACCUUGGGCUUGCAGUGGGUACGGGCAGACUAGAGUGCGGAAGGGGCAACUGGAAUUCUCGGUGUAGCGGUGAAAUGCGUAGAUAUCGAGAGGAACACCUGCGGCGAAGGCGGGUUGCUGGGCCGACACUGACGCUGAGACGCGAAAGCGUGGGGAGCAAACAGG